rnacentral:rRNA from 1 species
UGAGGAAUAUUGCGCAAUGGGCGAAAGUCUGAUGCAGCAACGCCGCGUGUACGAUGAAGGCCUUCGGGUCGUAAAGUACUUUUCAGGGAGAUGAGAAAGGACAGUACCCCUGGAAUAAGUCUCGGCUAACUACGUGCCAGCAGCCGCGGUAAAACGUAGGAGGCGAGCGUUAUCCGGAUUUACUGGGUGUAAAGCGCGUGCAGGCGGUUUGAUAAGUUGGAUGUGAAAGCUCCUGGCUCAACUGGGAGAGGUCGUUCAAAACUAUCAGACUAGAGAGUGGUAGAGGAAAGUGGAAUUCCCGGUGUAGUGGUGAAAUGCGUAGAUAUCGGGAGGAACACCAGUGGCGAAGGCGGCUUUCUGGACCAUUUCUGACGCUAAGACGCGAAAGCUAGGGUAGCAAACGGGAUUAGAGACCCCGGUAGUCCUAGCAGUAAACGAUGUGAACUUGGCGUUGGUGGUGUAAAAACCAUCAGUGCCGAAGCUAACGCGAUAAGUUCACCACCUGGGAACUACGGCCGCAAGGUUA